CCUUGACAUACUAAGAACUUUCCAGAGAUGGAUUGGUGCCUUCGGGAACUUAGAUACAGGUGCUGCAUGGCUGUCGUCAGCUCGUGUCGUGAGAUGUUGGGUUAAGUCCCGCAACGAGCGCAACCCUUUUCCUUAUUUGCCAGCGGGUCAUGCCGGGAACUUUAAGGAUACUGCCAGUGACAAACUGGAGGAAGGCGGGGACGACGUCAAGUCAUCAUGGCCCUUACGGCCAGGGCUACACACGUGCUACAAUGGUCGGUACAAAGGGUUGCUACCUCGCGAGAGGAUGCUAAUCUCAAAAAGCCGAUCGUAGUCCGGAUCGCAGUCUGCAACUCGACUGCGUGAAGUCGGAAUCGCUAGUAAUCGCGGAUCAGAAUGCCGCGGUGAAUACGUUCCCGGGCCUUGUACACACCGCCCGUCACGCCAUGGGAGUUUGUUGCACCAGAAGUAGGUAGUCUAACCGCAAGGAGGACGCUUACCACGGUGUGGCCGAUGACUGGGGUGAAGUCGUAACAAGGUAGGCGUAGAUGA
rnacentral:rRNA from 1 species